UUCCGAAAUUUCGAGAAGGAAAACGAGAGAAACGGUCUGAAUUUCGUUUUCAUCAACGGAAAAAUCUGCUACUUGAUUCAGGGUGUUUGGAAGUCGAGAAAAUCUACUUCAAAUUCCACCAGUGAAUGGAAAAUUCGACAGCAAUUUCAUACCAUGAUUGAACAGAGAGCAGUUUUGGCAGAAAAGAAUUCUUCUAAUGGGAGAGAAACGCGAAGCUCUGAUGAAUACCUAGGUUAGUAUUCAUCCUAAAGAUUCUGAACAGAGGAUUUGUUCGUUUUUAAUUCUGUUCGUCUACGUAGACUUGGAUUUAAGCAAUCGUAAGGGUGGUGGUAAAAUAUCUGUAAUAUCUUUAGUGUUGAUCCUGACCUUAUGUUCAUGGACUUAAAUUGUCAGAUUGUUGUCGGAUUAGUGCUAUUUGACUAACCACCAAUUUGUUGUCGGAUUAGUGCUGUUGUCGGGUUUUUUUGUUUCUUUUCUUUUUGUAUUGCAAUUGUGCAGUUCUUAACCAUAUGCGUUAGGCCUCCUAAAUUCCCCAGCAGCUGAAAAUUUUGAGAGGUUGGAAAAUAGUGGCUAGAAAAGAACAAAAUCUUUCUUGAACCCUUCUUUUGCCUCUCAUAUUAUUUGCGCUCAUGAUUAACAUUUAUUUUCUGGGUUGAAAAUUAGUUUCCUAGCUUCUUGAAGAUUUUGCAUUGAUCGGCGAAGUUUUUCAACUUUUAUGGUAUGUUUAUGUUAUACAGUUCUUCCUUAUAUGUUGUAUGAUUCUAAAAUGACCUAUGCUUGCAUGACCUAGUACCGACCUACAAUCUUAAAAUAAACCAUAAUAUAUUGUCUUAAAUUGAAGCUACAAUCUAACUCUCUAGAAAGCAUACAUUAGAUCCUUUGAGAAAUUUUUACAGACACCUAACUGUAAUUUUUUGCAAAAUAAGUGUUGUAGUUUUUCUAUUUAGUUGUAGUAACAAUAUGAAAAAACUGGUUAGCUUUUUCUUUGUUUUCUUCCCCAUGUUUGGAACCUUAAUGUUGACACUUCUGUGAUAAGUGUUUGUUUCUAUUGCAGCCCUUCCAUUGGUUUUACUUGCUAUUAUGCAUAGGAGUUAGAUUUCAAAUCACAUUCACUAUAUAUAUUUCUGUUUCAAAACUUUUUUGGCUUGGAGUGGCCAACUUUUCUCUUUUCUCUUGUUCUUUCUUUAGCAUUGCCCCAAACAGGCGAAAUAUCUUUAAUAUUUUAAAAUACAUCUUAACGGCUUGAUCUGCAGUGUUUCUCAUUUUGGUAACUAUUUUUUAUUCUGACUCUAUUUACGUAGAUUUAGUGGUUCGGAUUAUUGUUCCUAAAAAGUAUGAGAAAUAAUGGGUAAAUUUGAGAUUCUAGUGCUAUUUGAAUCACCACCAAUUUUUUUUGGGUCAAAUCUCUUGUUUAAAGAUUUCUAAUAUGCUUUUUAGUCCAAUCUCUUGCUUAAGUAUUUUAACCAAACACUUAAGUGUAAUAUCAAAUAGUAUGAGCGUUCUAGAGUUUGAAGAUUAGCGUGAGAUGAUCUUCAACUUCCUAGUAUGUUCAUAUCAUUUGGUAAAAUAUGAUUUUACGUGAAAGAUUAUUUGAGUUUUCAAAAUUGAUGAGUGCUCUAGGUUUUGAAUGUUCUGUUUGGUCAAAUUUCUUGUUUAAUAUUUCUAAUAUACUUUUUCGUCGUCAAAUCUCUUGUUUAAGAUUUUUAACCAAACAUUUAAGCGUGAUAUCAAAUAAUAUGAGCGUUCUAGAGUUUGAAGAUUAGCGAGAGAUGAUCUUCAACUUCUUAGUAUGUUCAUAUUAUUUGGUAAGAUAUGAUUUUGCCUAAUGUUAAAGAUUUCUACUAUAUUCUAUUUGGAUUUUCAAAGUCGAUGAGUGCUCUAGGUUUUAAAAGUUCUCUUAACAAUUUUUUUUUUUUUUUUGGUCAAAUCUCUUGUUUAAGAUUUUUAACCAAACACAAGUGUGAUAUCAAAUAGUAUGAGCGUUCUAGAGUUUGAAGAUUAGCGGGAGAUGAUCUUCAACUUCCUAGUAUGUUCAUAUCAUUUGGUAAAAUAUGAUUUUACGUGAAAGAUUAUUUGAGUUUUCAAAAUUGAUGAGUGCUUUAGGUUUUGAAUGUUCUCUUUGGUCAAAUUUCUUGUUUAAAAUUUUUAACCAAACAUUUAAGCGUGAUAUCAAAUAGUUAUGAGCGUUCUAGAGUUUGAAGAUUAGCGGGAGAUGAUCCUCAACUUCUUAGUAUGUUCAUAUCAUUUGGUAAGAUAUGUGUUAAAGAUUUCUAUUAUUCUAUUUGAAUUUUCAAAAUUGAUGAGGGCUCAGGUUUUGAAUGUUCUCUUAACAUUUAUUUAUUUAUUAUUAUUAUUAUUUUUUUUUUUUUUUUGUCAAUUCUCUCUUGUUUAAGAUUUUUAAUACUUUAUCGUCAAAUCUUUUGUUUAAGAUUUUUAACCAAACACAUAAGUGUGAUCUCAAAUAGUAUAGACAUUUAAGAGUUUGAUGAUUAGCGAGAGAUGAUCUUCAAUUCUUAGAAUGUUCACAUCAUUUGAUAACAUAUGAUUUCGCCUCAAGUUAAAUAUUCCUACCAUUCUUUUUGGUUUCUAAAAAAUUAUGAGUAUGGUUGGUUUUGAAGAUUUACGAGUUAUUAUCUUACCAUCUCUAUGAAGUCUUUUGGUGCAAUUUUUUAUUUGUUAAAGAUUUCUAAUCGACUUCUUAGAAAGUUUUCUAACCAUAGAUUUUUCAUCAAAUCUCUUGUUAAAGUUUUUUUUAAUGUACUUUUAUGUUAAAUCUCUUGUUUAAGAUUUCUAACCAAACACUUUUAAGUGUUAUCUCAAAUCAGGGAGGUGAUCUUCAACUUCCUAGUCUAUUCAUUUGGUAAGAUAUAAUUUUUCCUUUUGUUAGAGUAGUUAAAGGUUUCUACUCUUCUAUUUGGGUUUUCAAAAUUGAUGAGUGCUCUAGGUUCUUUGAAUGUUCUACUAUUCUGUUAAGUUUUGAAAAUUAACCGGUUAUAACCUUGAAAUCGCCAUGAAGUUUAUAUUUAUUGUGGUAUCAAAUAGUACGAGUGUUCUAGAGUUUAAAGAUUAGCGAUAGAUCUUUAACUUUCUACUCUGUUUAUAUCAUUUGUUUAUAUCAUUCGGUAGUAGGAUAUAAAUUUAUCUUAUAUUAAAGAUUUCUACCAUACUAUUUAAGUUCGCAAAAUUGACUCUAGGUUUUGAAUGUUCUCAUACUUAUUCGUUUUUGUGAAAUCUUUGGGUGCAAUUUUUUAUUCGUUUAAGAUUUCUUAUCUACUUAAACACUCAAGUGUGAUAUGAAAUAGUAUGAGCGUUCUAGAGUUUUAAGAUUAGUAGGUGAUGAUCUUCAACUUCCUAGUAUGUUCGUAUUAUUUGGUAAGAUAUUAUUUUGCCUCAUUUCAAUGAUUUCUACUAUUCUAUUUGGAUUCUCAAAAUUGAUAAGUACUCUAGGUUUUAAAGAUUAACCGGUUAUGAUCUUCAAAUCUUCCAUGAAGUUUGUACACAUGAAGUUCUUGAGCGGGAGACAAUCUUAAAAUAAUAAGUGUUUUAGAGUUUUGAAGUUUAGCGAGAAGCGAUCUAAAAAAUAUCUAGAGAUUUCAAAAAAUUGGAUAAUUAGAUAUUUUAAGAAGAUAAUUUGAAGAUUAUCGAGGGAUGAUCUUCAAAUCUAUAUUGAAGCAAUUUCAAUAAAGGACAAGUGCUAAUCUUUAUUCAAGAUUCUAAACCAAGCGCACGUAGGUUUGAUCUUAAAAAUCCCUAAUUAUACAAUUUUGUUAAAUCUCUAUAAAAACUUUUGAAGUUCAUCUAA